ACAAGUUCAUCAAUCAUUAUAAAACGUUACGUUUCUUGGAACAACCCACGCAGAAAUGAAGUGGGUUUUUUAAUAAAUUUGCUAUCAAGUGAUUCAUUUGAAUGUUUUAAACUGCACAUUACUUAAAAAAUAAUUAUCGGAGAGGAACGUGUUGAAAAUGGAUAAAAUAAUAUGGUUUAUAACUAUAUAUAUAGUGUUUGUGUUUACACCGUUGGUAAAUAGCCUGGCCACAAAUACAACACUGGAAAACACACUGAUGCCGAAUACACCGAUGAUAAGUAAACUAAUAACGAACACGAUCAUUGACAAUACAACAACAGCGGAGAACAGAUCAAGUGAUAUCGCUGUGAGGGCUAUUCUUGCAACACUAUUGUGUAGAGUUGAACAACUCAUAUCUAUGAAGGAAAAUGGAGAAGAAACGGUGGUGUCUAGACGAGUUUGCUUCAACUAACAAUCCAAUUGUGCAUAGGUUUGCAAGAUAACGAUAUACAGUCCUUGUUAAAAAGUGGCCGUGCAUGUGUCAUGAAAGCGUAGCUGGUUUUAUUAACAUGCAUAAAUCAACAAAAACAUAAACACAAGUUGUAUUGAUCAUAUGUAACAUUGCAUGGAUUAAAACUAAUGUAUUGUGAAUUUUA